UACAGAGGUCUCAAGCGUUGUUCGGAUUCAUUGGGCGUAAAGGGUGCGUAGGUGGCUCCGUAAGUCAGGUGUGAAAUCUCGGGGCUCAACCCCGAAACUGCACUUGAUACUGCGGUGCUCGAGUACUGGAGAGGAGAUUGGAAUUUACGGUGUAGCAGUGAAAUGCGUAGAUAUCGUAAGGAAGACCAGUGGCGAAGGCGAAUCUCUGGACAGUUACUGACACUGAGGCACGAAGGCCAGGGGAGCAAACGGG
rnacentral:rRNA from 1 species